rnacentral:lncRNA from 1 species
AAGUUUGGAGAGUGCGAUAUAAUGUGAAUUUCAAAGUGUUUCCCAAAGAACUCCAUGAUUUCCAGGUGCUCUGUAAAUGACUGUACCCACGCAUCGCAAACCAUCUCAGAGAGUCACCAUCUCAGAUCUUUUUCCCUUUGAUAACCCAGGAGUCAGACCAUAUGUCCUUUGAUCUCUGCUUCAAAAAAGUCGUGGCCUGGAAGAAAACAAUUUCAUUCAAAUAAUACCACAUGCUAUGCUUCUGGGCAGCCUGGACUCUGGGACUAAGGCUGGUGGGAGUGGAAAGUUUCACAGCUGUGUGUCUGGGCCCCACAUCUAACUCUAUGCACUUGGCCAGCGUACAGGUGACCUCCACAGAGGUCCCAUGACCCCUUGGAGCUUCUGUUCUUUGUAUGUAAAAGGAGUGUGUCAUAGCUACACUGCAGGGCUAUUGUGGGAACUCAGAAAUUGACUAUAAAAUGCUCGACCCAAGGAGAAGCUGGAGAAAUAGUACCUAUGACUUUGAUUUACAAGGAGGUUCCGUACUGCUGCUCAAGUCCUUAAGAAAAUUCCUCAGUCUCAUCCUCCACCUGAGCGACCGGAAGGAGAAGGCAGGAAAGCAGCAGGGGCUCAGCUUCCUGAUCCUCCCUUUUGUAAAACUCUCUUUACAGAUAAGACACCAAAGGCCGGUCUCUCCCAUUGAGAACCAGCCAGCCUCCGCUCAGAGACUGCUGUCUGCUAACCACAGAAGGCAUUUGUCCCUUUUUGCUGUCCCCUGUCACCCUUCCUUUACCACUCCAUCAUUCCUUUGGGUGGGGCCUCCCUGUGCAUGGCUUGAAGUCAACAUGGAUGGACUUGACCUUUCCCUGGGACAGGCAUGUGAGCUAAACGCAGCUUAUCACCUGCUCCCUUUUUUACAGGGACUCUGUAUUUGAUAUUAUCUUAUUUUUUGGCUGCACCUAUGUCAUACAGAAAUUCCAGGCCAGGGAUCAAACCCAUGCCACAGCAAUCGCUAGGCCACCAGCGAACUCCAACCCAGUAUUUUACAUAAGUGAUGUCCCAAUGUGGGAGCAGUUGAGGUCUUAUCUGUUACAGUGGUACCACAUUGCAUGGCCUGGACUAUGCCCACAUCUCUAUGGUUGUGGUUUUUAAUGGUGUUCUUACUGGGUCUGGCUGCCUGGCCUUCAGAUCCCAUCUCUUGAUGUUCGAUUUGAAGCCUGGUAAGCUCCCCAAAUUGUUCACAAAGAUGGUCUUUUUGUUCAGCCCUGGGCAGUUCUGUUUCUCCCCCUUGCUGGGGGAGCACAGUCUGAUAUGGACAGAUUCCCGGAGAAAACAGAAAAGGAGGCUUAUCUUACUUUACAGGAAUUCCCUCUUAUGGUGGUCAACACCCGGGCUUGGCAGAAAGGAGAACUCUUGAAAUACAGCCCUGAAUGGGACAUGGCCACCGAGCCAAAGUUUUGGAUCAUCACACUGGAGAGGACUGGGAAUAAGUGGGCCUUUUUUUGUCAUCAAAGGCGUCAACUGGAUGGCGGGUGGAAGAGAGACAGCAAAUGGCAACAGACAUGACUAGACACAACGACUGACUCCGACGCAUCCUCCUGUAGGCUUUUAGGAGAACUUGAAACGAUGUCUUUUGGGGGAUGGGAAGAGAGUACAGGCCCUACCUGCCCUUUAUGGCUUAUUACCCUCUGUCUCAGCAUUGCUCCUUGGCCCUGAGAAAGCUGCCACCAAGCAUCUUACUAGUUGUCCGACUUUCAUCCUACUUAACAUGUUCUGUGGUUUGCCCGCUGAUGGUAGUCUAAGCAGAAUCUAAUUGGUAACAUAUUGUCAACUGAAUUAAGUGCCAUAUGACAGAGAUUUAAAUCCUGGUAAUUUUUCUGUAAAGAAAAAAAAAAUCUGUCAACAGGCUACAGCAGAGGAAGAGCAAUAAAUCCAAGUGUCGUGUUUAUUCAUUAUUGCAGGAGUCUAGUUGUCUUGUGUUCAUUAUAACUCCCCCAUUUUUAGCACUAGUAAAAGCUCUAAAGAGAAAUAUCUGUGCAAGGUGCUUUUUAACAGAUUUCUAUUUGUACACAAAUACCUGCUUGCCUUUUCAAUCAUGAGAAAAAUGGUGCCCUUUCAUUUUCAAAGGAAAGUGUAUCAUGACUGUUUGCUAGAUGAAGGAUAAUGGGUUUAGUCUUUUGAAAAACUAUGUUUUAAAACAUCGGGGAUCACUAAUAAUCAAGAAAAGCAAAUAGAAACCAAAACGAGGCAACACCAUUGGCUUAUCAGGUUUGCAAAAAUUAAAAGAGCUGGUAAAAUGAUUGCACUGAAGGAUGUGUAGAAGAACAGUCAUUGCCAUUUGAUUUGAAGGAUUAAAAAUGGAAAUAAGUGGAUUUCCAUAUAUGAGCCUGUUUAAACAAAUUAUGGACUAGCAAUACCGGAGAGUGCAAAGUACUCACUUGAAAGCACAUGUUAAAUCCUACGUAAUGAAUUGACAUCAUUUGCACUUUUCCUUUUAACUUGUCUUUACUGACAGUCACUUUCAACAUUUUUUCUUACUUGAAUCAGAAAUACAUAAUAGCUACAGAGUUACCAAAUGAUCCAGCAAUCCCCACUCCUGGGCAUACAUACAAAAGACAAAAACUCUAAUUCAAACACCCCCCAAUGUCCACACCAGCACUAUUCACAAUAGCCAAGAUAUGGAAACAACUGAAAUGUCCUUUGACAGAUAAAUGGAUAAAGAAGAUGUGGUAUAUAUUUUUGUGUGUAUACUACACACACACACACAUAAUAUGUCCAGUGGAAUAUAUAUAGGCAAUUCUGUCUGUAUACACACAUACACACAAAAACACACAAUGGAAUACUACUCAGCCAUAAAAAGAAUGAAAUAGUGUCAUUUGCAACAACUUGGAUGGACCUAGAGAUUAUUAUGCUAAGUGAAGUAAAUUGGACAGAGAAAAACAAAUAUAGGGUAUAACCUAUAUAUGAAAUCUUUUAAAAAAUGAUACAAAUGAACUUAUUUACAAAAUAAAAAUAGACUCACAGACAUAGAAAACAAGCUUAUGGUUGACAUAGUAAAUAAGCUUCUGCUUACCACAGGGGAAAGGUAAAGGAGAGGGGAUAAAUUAGGAGUUUGGGAUCAACAGAUACAAACUACUAUGCAUAAAGUAGAUAAACAACAAAGACCUAUUGCAGAGCAUGGGGAGCUAUACUCAAUACAUUGUAAUAACCUAUAAUGGAAAAGAAUCUGAAAAAAAAUAUGUGUGUGUGUGUGUAUCACUUUGCUGUACCCUGAAACACUGUAACUCAGCUUUACAUAACAGCAUUUUGCAGAUAUGGCCUCACUGGAAUCUCAUACAACCCUGUAAGCUAUGUAGGGCAGAUUAUUUUACCGACUUUACAGACAAAGAAACCAAAGUGGGGAAGAUAAUGUGACUUAUGGAAGGAGCACCCCAAGGCUCUCAAACCCAGAGGCAGGGUGCAAACCUCAAGAACUUCCUUCCCCUGCUCUGCAGAGCAGAAUAGAGAGUCUGGAAAUCAAAGACCAGCAUCCAGUUCCCCACACCUUUAAUUCCCAGUGUGACUUUCAACUUUUUUUCUUAAUUUCCUGGCUUCCUCAUCCAUUCCAUUCCAUUACUACUCAGCUCACACAAUAGAAACAGCAUGGGGGGGGGGCGGUGGCUAGCAGCAGAGCCUGGAGGUAGUCAGACCCUGGCAAAGCACGCUGAGGCUAGUUCCCAGAUUUCUUCUAAAAUAGGCAGCAUUACACAAGGGAUCUGAGCAUCGAUGAACCUGAGAAGGCACAUAGUGUGCCAGCAUGUGCUUUCCACUUGAGGGGCGCUUAAACACAGGGCACGUACACUUAUUCAGAUGUCACAGCUAUGCAUCUGCUUCUGGUUGCUGGGCACAUGGACAUACAGAAUAUGUAAGAGAUCACAAGCUCGUGGAAUCAGGCCUACUGGAUUCCAGGGCUUGGUCCUCUCACCCAAGGCCGCUCGCAGGGAGGAUCGCCCUGUUCCUUUCCAGUCCCCUGCUCAGGACACCUUCGCAGGGGAAAGGACUGCAUGCUGGUGUCGUGGCUCUGACCUCUCAUGUGUCUCCCCCUUUUCCCAUCUACCUAGCCCCCUCCCUACCUUUAAUCUUUUCCUCCUACCAUUUCCCUCCAAGUCUGAUGGCUUAAUUGCACAAAAGGUGGUGACGACAAUAACAAGAGUAAUGGCCACUAACACAGGGCUCAUUCACUGUUCCAGUCCCCCAAACACCUGACUUCUAUGAGCUCAUCUACCCUUUAUUUAAGAGGCAGAGACUGACUGUUAUUGUACACAUUUUACAGACCCCCGGACCUCACUGAUGCAAGUCUAGUGACUUGUCUGAAGCCACAGGAAGUGUAAAGAGUUGGGAUUUGAACCCAGAGGUCUAGCCGAAGAGCAAUGGAUAGGCUUUCCAUUAUCUAAAUGCGAAAUAAAUAAAAAUAUGCACAACAUAACUGAACGCUAAGUGCAGGUUAAGAAGAGCAAGAAAAUAGCAGUUGACAGACACAAAGCCAAAACCUUAGAAUGUAGAGUGUUUGUGCUACUAUUGCUCUAAUAACCUCACUUUAGUGGGAUGGGAAACCUUGAUAGCCCUUAAAGGAGGGUGCUCUUCCUCCACUGUGAACCAAGAACCAAAUACUUUGGGCAAAAGCAGAGACCACAAGUUGUUUAUUUUUAAAUCGAUGGUUCAGUGUGCACACUCAAGACUCAAAGAAUGAGCUUCCUGCUACCUCUCUGUUGACGUGGGUGUGACCUAACAUUUGGCCUUCAGCUAAUUCUUGCGGCACUGUCUGGUCCCAGACUACCUGAACAGUCCCUCGUAUGGGAUUUUCACCCCUUUGAAUAAAAGGGAUUAUAAAAUGCAUAUCCAAACAGGAUUGGAUUUAAAAAUUUUUAAGACUCAAAUCACAAGGAACUCCUAUUUUAGGACAAAAAAAAAUUGUUCUAAACUUUGUCACACCAUUAGCUCUCUAGUCUCAAAAAUUUGGUUGCUAUUGCUAUUUUGUAUUGUUUAUGCACAUUCAUGUGUCUACAUGUGUGUGUACCUAUAAUGCGGCAUGUAUCUGUGCAUAUGAUGUGCGUACAUAUAUACACAUUCAUACACACAUAGUAUGCUGGCCAAGGAAUACCAACAGUGCUGUCCACCCUUGACCAUGAGGACCCCAUGCAUUCUGGGCUAUUUGCACAGGAUUGGUGCUGGCCUCAGGGUGAGCCCUGACUACCCUCCCCGUCCUGUGACCAGACCUCUGAGAUCACUCACUGGGGCCAGGCACUGGGGUCUAGCCUGUGACCAUGUCACAUGCUCUUUAUUUGAAGUGUAGCUAAUGGCCCAAAUGGGGUUCAGACGCUCUCUUCCUGAGGUCCACAGCCCAGCCCCCAUGCCAAAUGUGUGUCUGCAUAUUCAGACCCAGGUUGUGCUUUUUUUUUUUCUUGCUUUUUGGGGCUGCACCUGCGGCAUAUGGAAGUUCCCAGGCUAGGGGUCCAAAUGGAGUUGCAGCAGCUGUCCUACACCAAAGCCACAGCAACAGCAAUGCAGGAGCCGAGCCACAUCUGCAACCUACACCACAGCUCAUGGCAACGGUGGAUACUUAACCCACUAAGUGAAGGCAGGGAUCAAAUCCUCAUCCCCAUGGAUCUUAGUUGGGUUCAUUACCGCUGAGCCACAACAGGAACUCCCAUUUGUGCAUUCUUUUCAUGUCACCCCCAUGUGAUCCUGUGACCUUUCUGGGCCACAUUCCAAGUCUCCCUCUACCAGAGGGAGGCUGGAUUCUCUCUGUGGGGCAGACUGGGCCACGCUCCCCUGAAUCAGCCCCUGAAGGGUACAAAGGAAGGGUCACUUCUCUUCUACUCAAGGCAACCAGGGUUGGGGUGAGGGGGCAGACGCUCUUUAGCUUGAUCUUACCUCUCAACUCAUGCGCUCCUUUUCUUUCACUCUCAAGUUGUUCAAUGUCUUUCUUCUGAGGCUGAGGGCUCAGCUCCCUUCUCCCUGGCAAGCUUUCCGUACAAACAGGAAGAGUGUGU